AGCACAGGCGCGGAACGGAAAGCCGCGUGCAAGCGAAGGAGGAGUCACAUAGGAAAAACCGUGUGGCAAUCCAGAGGCGUGAUGCGGACCGAACUAAAGUAGGGAAGUGUGUGAGCCAUGAAUCAAGAAAAGCCGCUAUUGUUUUUAAGAUACCCGUACCGUAAACCGACACAGGUGGAUGAGGAGAGAAUCCUAAGGCCGGCGGAAGAAGCAUUGUUAAGGAACUCGGCAAAAUGACCCCGUAACUUCGGGAGAAGGGGUGCCAACGAGAGUUGGCCGCAGAGAAUAGGCUCAAGCAACUGUUUAGCAAAAACACAGGUCUAUGCAAAACCGUAAGGUGAGGUAUAUGGGCUGACGCCUGCCCGGUGCUGGAAGGUUAAGAGGAGAGGUUAGCGCAAGCGAAGCUUUGAAUUUAAGCCCCAGUAAACGGCGGCCGUAACUAUAACGGUCCUAAGGUAGCGAAAUUCCUUGUCGGGUAAGUUCCGACCCGCACGAAAGGCGUAAUGAUUUGAGCGCUGUCUCGACAAUGCAUCCGGUGAAAUUGAAGUACCAGUGAAGAUGCUGGUUACCCGCGCCAGGACGGAAAGACCCCAUGGAGCUUUACUCCAGUUUGGUACUGGGGUCCGGCAGUGCAUGUACAGGAUAGGUGGGAGGCUGUGAACCUGGAACGCCAGUUUCAGGGGAGCCAUUGUUGGGAUACCACCCUUGUGCUGCUGGGCUUCUAACCAGCGGCCUUUAUCAGGCCGGGGGACAAUGCCAGACGGGGAGUUUGACUGGGGCGGUCGCCUCCGAAAGGGUAUCGGAGGCGCUCAAAGGUUCCCUCAAAUGGUCGGAAACCAUUCGAAGAGUGCAAAGGCAGAAGGGAGCUUGACUGCGACACCGACGGGUGGAGCAGGUACGAAAGUAGGACUUAGUGAUCCGGUGGUAUUAAGUGGGAAUGCCAUCGCUCAACGGAUAAAAGCUACCCUGGGAUAACAGGCUUAUCACUCCCAAGAGUUCACAUCGACGGAGUGGUUUGGCACCUCGAUGUCGGCUCAUCGCAUCCUGGGGCUGUAGUAGGUCCCAAGGGUUGGGCUGUUCGCCCAUUAAAGCGGUACGCGAGCUGGGUUCAGAACGUCGUGAGACAGUUCGGUCCCUAUCCGGCGUGGGCGUAGGAUAUUUGAGAGGAGCUGUCCUUAGUACGAGAGGACCGGGAUGGACUGACCUCUGGUGUACCGGUUGAACCGCCAGGUUCACGGCCGGGUAGCCAAGUCGGGAAGGGAUAAACGCUGAAGGCAUCUAAGCGUGAAGCCCCCCUCAAGAUGAGAUAUCCCAUUCUUAAAGAAGUAAGACCCCUUGAAGACGACGAGGUAGAUAGGGCAGAGGUGGAAGUGCCGUAAGGCAUGGAGCUGACUGUUACUAAUCGGUCGAGGGCUUGAC
rnacentral:rRNA from 1 species